UACGGGGGGGGCAAGCGUUUAAUCGGAAUUACUGGGCGUAAAGCGUGCGCAGGCGGCUUUGCAAGACAGAUGUGAAAUCCCCGGGCUUAACCUGGGAACUGCAUUUGUGACUGCAUGGCUGGAGUGCGGCAAGAGGGGGAUGGAAUUCCGCGUGUAGCAGUGAAAUGCGUAGAUAUGCGGAGGAACACCGAUGGCGAAGGCAAUCCCCUGGGCCUGCACUGACGU
rnacentral:rRNA from 1 species